rnacentral:rRNA from 1 species
GUUGAACGAAUCCAGGCCCUACGGGGCGCAGCAGGCGCGAAAACUUUACAAUGCGGGCAACAGUGAUAAGGGAACCUCGAGUGCCUGUAUAUGCAGGCUGUCCAGGUGUCUAAAACACACCUGAAGAAAGGGCCGGGCAAGACCGGUGCCAGCCGCCGCGGUAAUACCGGCGGCUCGAGUGGUGGCCGCUUUUAUUGGGCUUAAAGCGUUCGUAGCUGGGUCGUUAAGUCUCUUGGGAAAUCCGGCAGCUCAACUGUCGGGCGUCUAAGAGAUACUGGCGAUCUUGGAACCGGGAGAGGUGAGGGGUACUUCGGGGGUAGGAGUGAAAUCCUGUAAUCCUCGAGGGACCACCUGUGGCGAAGGCGCCUCACCAGAACGGCUUCGACAGUGAGGGACGAAAGCUGGGGGAGCAAACCGGAUUAGAUACCCGGGUAGUCCCAGCCGUAAACAAUGCGCGUUAGGUGA